rnacentral:lncRNA from 1 species
CUUUCCUUUCUUUCUUUGAUUUCAGACCAGCAGCCCUGCUAACACAUUGCAAAAGCCUAUUCAAUCUGUUUACGCACCUAAUCUGCUUGUACACACACUUGACAGAACCACAAAACAGACAUGGAACCAUCAAUCAGAACCAUCUUUGCGGCUCACUUAAUCACAUCAGUAGUUUUGCCGCCCGGUAGUGCCACUCCGGUAGUUCUCAAUGAUUCCACAACUGUAAUACCACACCCUCCUUCAUCUACCACUUUCAUCCUAGCACAACUCACACAAACAAAUUACAACACCGAUUCUACAACCCGAACACAGCUCCUUGUCUUCAUACACGCGGCGGCACCACCACUCACCAUUAGAAACCUUGUCAAAAAAACCGGAACCACCAGACUUUGCCAAAUUCCAAUCCAUUCCAGUCCAACCCCUUCUAUUCACCUCUGUUAAUCUUCCCAAUCACCAUUUAAUUCAAAACCACAGCCAUCCCUCUAACUGAACCCACCUUCAACCAUUAGCUCAUCACUUCAAUCACCCCAAGCCAACAAUUACUUCUCUAUUCACAAACACACCGAAAAACAAUCUCUUUUCCCCUCUCUCAGCCUCGACUGUUGAUUGAGCUACGACCACCGCCGGCCACAACCCGACUUCGACCAACACAACCACUUCAACCCACAACACAGAUCGACUUGUCAAGUCGGAGUCGGUAUCUCCGAUUUCAGAACACCGACGCCGCCCCAUCUGUUUGCACGCACCGCCAUCAAACAAUAUCGGCAGUUGUGCCUCUCCUGCAGCCACCCACGAAACUCCGAUAGACAACUCCUCCA